rnacentral:piRNA from 1 species
UGGGAUUAAAGGUGUGUGUGCUCCACCACA